rnacentral:tRNA from 1 species
GGCUCUGUAGCUCAGUCGGUAGAGCAAAGGACUGAAAAUCCUUGUGUCGGCAGUUCAAUUCUGCCCGGAGCCA